GAAAGUGAGAAAUGUAAUAUUUAUUAUGUAUUUUGAAAAAGCCACCCUGUUUUGACUAAGUCCUGCAAAUAGUGCUCUCAGUACAUCCAAGAAUGACAUAAUAGCCCUAGGAAUGCUGAUUUGUUGGCAUCAUAACAUGCAUUACCAUUACAGAAGUAUGCACUGUGUCUACUUGAAAUGUUUGAUUAUAUAUUAAAUAAGCUACUAGACUGAGACACACAAAAAAUCAAGAUGGCUAUCUGGGUCGUCUAGGAUUAGUCUACCCUCUUUAAAAACCACAGAGAGGUUUAUUAAAAUCUCAUCUCGGUGAAACCACUUCACAGCCUGAGUAGAAUCAUGCCUAGCCACACUUAAGUGGAGACUUUCAAGGAUAAACCUAGAUGCUGCUGGAAAUAUGGUUGGAGAUUCAAUAAACAGGAUUCCAAACCAAAAUGGAACCAAUACUGAACCAACACUAAUAUGGUGAUAGGUGGUACAGUGAUAAUGGAAAUACUGCCUGGUGGAUAUGUUAAACAAAAAGGGCCUCACUGCUCAGACAUUACAAAUUCUCCCUAUUUGCAAGAUUUGAGGUAUUAACAUAGGUGUCCUGACUAAUUCCAGCUUGGUUAAUCACAUUCUGCCUACCUCGAAUUUUCCCUGUAUUUUGAUUUGGAGAAGUUAAUUGUUUGUUUUUGUUUUUAAAAACCAUUCCUGUCAUCUAAUGGGUGCAUAGUCCACACUAGCCUUUCAUGGUGGGUGAGUGACCCCUAAUAUACAUUGUUCUCACUGUGCUUUGCAAUCCUCCAGCAUGAUAGGUGCUAUGGGCAUGUUCUGCCCACACCUCUCCCCACAAUGGUUGCAGGUGAAAACCACAGUGGAAUCCAGUGCAGUUCAGCUGUGCAGGAGGCAGGAUUUCAGGCGCUCACAUUUCACCAGGAUCAACUCCAAAGGCUGUUCUGGAAUAUACCGCUGGAACAAGCUCAUUUGUCCUCCAGUUAGUCUGGGAAGGAGGAGGGAAUCCUAAUCCUUGUGGAGUGACAUUUCCACCUGGAAACCAGGAGGAUGGUCUGAGAGGCUCAGCAGCAACUAUUGUAAUCUCAGGACGUCUGCAAAGAAACAUAAACAAGAGUUUAAAAAUUCACAAAGAUUACAAGUAAUUUGGAGUGAAGACCAAAUCUGAGGAAAUCAUGAGGAAAAGAGGCUGAAGUUUUCAACCACUUAAUUUGUUCUAAUUUAUGGACAUGGAUCAAAUUACUGCUGUUUUCUCUGUUUUUUUGUAUGCCAUUGUUCACGUGUGAUUCUAGGCUCACUUAUGCUGUGCCUCCUAAAUAUAU